rnacentral:rRNA from 1 species
CACGAACGCUGGCGGCAGGCCUAAUACAUGCAAGUCGAGGGGUAGUGGUUGCUUGCAGCCAUGAGACCGGCGCACGGGUGCGUAACGCGUAUGCAACCUACCUUCAUCUGGGGGGUAGCCCGGAGAAAUCCGGAUUAAUACCGCAUAAAAUCACAGUACGGCAUCGUACAAUGAUCAAACAUUUAUGGGAUGGAGAUGGACAUGCGUGUCAUUAGUUAGUUGGCGGGGUAACGGCCCACCAAGACCGCGAUGACUAGGGGAUCUGAGAGGAUGACCCCCCACACUGGUACUGAGACACGGACCAGACUCCUACGGGAGGCAGCAGUGAGGAAUAUUGGUCAAUGGGCGCAAGCCUGAACCAGCCAUGCCGCGUGCAGGAAGACGGCCCUCUGGGUUGUAAACUGCUUUUAUUCGGGAAUAAACCUGCUUACGUGUAAGUAGCUGAAUGUACCGAAGGAAUAAGGAUCGGCUAACUCCGUGCCAGCAGCCGCGGUAAAUC